GAUGAACGCUGGCGGCGUGCCUAAUACAUGCAAGUCGAGCGAACAGACGAGGAGCUUGCUCCUCUGACGUUAGCGGCGGACGGGUGAGUAACACGUGGAUAACCUACCUAUAAGACUGGGAUAACUUCGGGAAACCGGAGCUAAUACCGGAUAAUAUAUUGAACCGCAUGGUUCAAUAGUGAAAGACGGUUUUGCUGUCACUUAUAGAUGGAUCCGCGCCGCAUUAGCUAGUUGGUAAGGUAACGGCUUACCAAGGCAACGAUGCGUAGCCGACCUGAGAGGGGGACGGCCACCAUGGAAUAGGACACCGGGCCAAACCUCCUGGGGGGGGCAGAGUGGGGAAUUUUCCCGAAAGGGGGAAAGCCCGAAGGAGGAACGCCGGGGGGGGUGAGAAGGUUUUCGGAUCGUAAAACUUUUUUAUUAGGGAAAAAAAAAUUGUGAAGGAAAUAAGCCCGUUUUGAAGGGAACUAAACAAAAAGCCCCGGGCAACCUAGG
rnacentral:rRNA from 1 species